rnacentral:lncRNA from 1 species
CCCGGGUGCUGGGAUGUGCCCAGACCUGUCCUGGCCUGUCCCCGCGCUGGGACAGGCUCACAGGCUGAGCUGGCUUAGGCCGGGAUUAAAGGCACGCUCUGCAAUUAGAGGCACACCCGGCUCCUUCCGGCAUUCCCAGCCCCAUCUGCGCAGGGUUUGGAGAGAGGGAAUGCUGAGGGUGUUCAUCCCUAGUGUCCAAGGCCAUCUCUCUGCUUGUCAUUCCUUGGAAUAACAAAAAACCCAUUUCUCUAAUGCAUCAGGAUGUUUCCAUCCCUUUCUGGGGAGGGAAAUACACCUAGAAACUGUAGGAUCACAAGGAUUUCCAGGAAAGCAAAACAAGCGCGGAGAUGAGGGAGUAAGCUUCCAAUUUAAAAAUUAUUUCAUGGACAUAGGAAUGAUUCUUGUAUGUUUUACAACUCCCCUUUUUAUUCCUUGAAUAAUUUUAGAUUUUAUUUUCUUUUAACAAAUCAUCUAAAUUUGAGAGGAAACAAUAGAAAAUUAAUGCAGGGAGAGACUGUGGAAUCAUCCUGGAACGGUUUGGGCUGGAAGCCUCAUCUCUGAGCUCCUGUCCUUCAGCCACUCGCUGCAGGUGGACAUGGAAGUGAUGGAGAUGUGCAGGGAAUGCUGCUUGGUUUUCCCUGCCUCCGGCAAUCUGGCCAUUCAAAAGACUAAUUGACCUCUUCCAGCAGGGAAACAUUUAAACAAGAGGUCUCAAAAAGAAUUGGAGCGUCUGCACAAUGAAAUCUGCAAGAAUCCAACUUCAAAUCCCCCUGAAUUGUCACUGGUCCAACUUCCAUGGACUGGUCACUGUGGCCAGGAGUGUCCAGUCCUGCUGGAAAUGCACUGGACCAGGAUGUCAUUUUCAUUUGAUGCUGGUGAAGACCCUCUGGGUGACCCCCAGUGACUGGAAGGACCAGACUGGGCUCCCAGGGCACUAAUUGCAGGGGUUCUGUUCUUGGGAAUAGCACAGGAGCCUUUCCCUUGUCCAGAGGAGCAGCCAGUGUUUCCCUGUCUGGGACAAGGGAGGUGGAAAACACGCUGGGUCAGUGGAGAGGGGCCUCCAUGGGGAUGGGAGGCUCCCGCUGCCGUUCCCAUCUCCCUGCGGGCACGGAGGGCUGAUCCCGGACCAGGACAGGGCGAUGCUCCCGGCGCAUCCCGGGGCGAGCGGCCCCAAACGGGCCGGGCCUGCUCAGGUGCGCGGGGCGGGACCGGGGGAUUCAAACCCCGGAGCCGCCCCGGCCUCCUGGGCUCGUUCAGCGCUCGGUGCGGGAGCAGCGGCCGGGCCGGGCUCCUCCGGGGGUCCAAGAGCACCUUAACAUCCACCUUGAAGAGCAUCAGGAGGGAAGCAGGGAGACUGCAGAGAUGUAGGGGUGGAUCAUCCUGGAGAACCAUGAGUAGGGACAAUGCAUGCCAAGCCAGCCAUCUCCUGUUGUUUUUUCUUGCAAAGAAGAAACAGCUUCAGCCUUCAUCUCAGCUCCUGCCUGGAGGCUCCUGGGCUCCGGUUCCUUACUGUACUCCGGGCUCAGCACCAAAUCCAGGUGAUCUGCUGCAGGUGUGGCGUGAGGACACCCUGUUGGAACACUCGCUCUGGGUACCUCUCUCUGACCACAAAGGGCUCCUGGGUGAGGUCUGGCAGCUUUCCUGUAAGGAACACUUAUGGAUCUUACUAUUGCUGAUUUAAGGCAUGUCCAAAAGGUGAUUUUAAAUUCUUUUUCCCCUAAAAAAAUAAAAAUUUUCAGGAGGAGAUUGCUGAGCUUUUG